rnacentral:tRNA from 1 species
AGACCCAUGGUGUAAUUGGCAACACAGCAGAUUUUGGUUCUGUUAUUCGGGGUUCGAGUCCCUGUGGGUCUACAA